CCAAACACCUUACUGUAGUAAAUGUCACAUUUCUCCCCAAGCUUUUGUACUAUUGUUUAUAUACAUUUUGCUUCUACAUUUAACCCUGUAGUGCAUUGUUAUUGAUUUUACUAAAAUUUCUGUUUUUCUUUGUAUCAUGUUUAUGAUUUUCUCUACUUCCUGGAAUAUUAAUAGCUGUUUUAAUGAUCUUGUCUGCAGUCAUUCUCUUGGGGCAGUUUGUACCAACAAGGUAUAUUUGGCAUUGCCUAGAGAUACUUUGUGGAGAAGGCAAUGGCACCCCACUCCAGUACUCUUGCCUGGAAAAUCGCAUGGACGGAGGAGCCUGGUAGGCUGCAGUCCAUGGGGCCGCUAAGAGUCGGACACGACUGAGCGACUUCACUUUCACUUUUCACUUUCAUGCACUGGAGAAGGAAAUGGCAACCCACUCCAGUGUUCUUGCCUGAAGAAUCCCAGGGACAGGGCAGCCUGGUGGGCUGCUGUCUGGGGUCACACAGAGUCAGACAGGACUGAGGUGACUUAGCAGCAGCAGCAGAGAUACUUUGAGUGUCACAUCUGGGAACAAUGUUGCAUCUAGUGGAUAUAGGCCAGGGAUGCUGCUAAAUAUUCUAUUAUAUAUGCAAGAAAUAAGUACCACACCCAGAAUUUCAGCAGUACCAAGGUUAUGAAAUCUUGGUCUGGGGCUCAUUUGGUGCCACUGUUGAGGCAUUACCAUUCUAAGAACUCUGCCUAAUUCUUUGUCUCUUAGGAAAUUUUUCUGUUGUGUCUGAUGAAAGCAGACUGUACCUGGACCUAUGUUAGGAUGUUUCCACUAAUUCUUGUCUAGUGACUUUUUUCCCCUGGCCCUGUUAGAUUCUUUAUAUACUUUAUGCAGAUCGGUCUAAUAUGAUUGAUUUCAGGGAAUCAUUGUAUAUACCUCCAGAGCGCUUCCUCCUCUCUGUGCAUCUCUUUCCUCUUUUUUUUGCCUCACAAAUUCUAGUCACAUAAACCUACCUAAACUUUGAACUGUCUCCUAAGUAAAGCUAUUGCGCUAUUUUGUUGUCCCUUCCUCUUGCAUUAUAAUUUGGAAACUCUUCAACCAGUGAGCUGUGCACUUAGAGCACUCAUUUGUGUUUUCUCUCAGGUAUUAAUAUCCUGUACUGCUCUUUGUCCAUUGCCUGAAACCUUUGUUUCACAUCUGUUUUGUCCAGUUUUCUAGUUUAAUAUAGAAAAAUAAAUCUAAUUCCUGUUAUUUUGUAAUGGUAGGAAAUAGAAGUUCUUUAUAUCGAUGCUUGGUUUAUCCUUACUUUGCUUAGUGGAAGCCCCUUCAAGUUGUUUCCUGUGUUUUUUUGGCAUGUAAGUCCUUUCUGUAGUAGUGAGGAAGGUGGUUUCUUAGUUUCCACAAUAUAUUUAUUUUCUCAGCCCCAGAGUACACAGAAGUUCAGUUCAAAAUUGCUGGUUGAUACGUCUGCAAAACACAAGUAUAUUUGGCUAAAUAAAUUAGCCAAACUAAUUUAUGUUUGAAGUUCUUUUUUCUUUAGCCUGAGGGCAUAUGGUUUCAAAACUAAGUUUGCAAGUUAUCUGGGAUAUUGUUAGCAAAAAUGGCUGACUAAGGACAUCCAAGAAUUACCUUUCUCCUCUAAAAGCAGUGGAGAAAGCUGUUCAUAGUGUCAGAAUUGACGUUUUCAGAACUGCAGAAUUAACCAAAAGUUUACUAAGGGUUGUUAUUUAUUAAAAAUGGCUGAAACUUGAUAGAGUAUCUUUGUGACAUUUUAACUUGCUCUAUUCUCAUUCCCCACUCCCCAAGUCCAUGGUGUCUUGAAAAUCAGCAGCCCACAAUCAUGAUGAAAACCUGCAGCCUGACAGAUACUGGAGGAGCCAGAAGAAGGAAUGUAACUUUACUUGGGUGGCGUCUAUUUUGAGAAUAAUCAGCCCUGGAGAAAUAAGUGUCCUGAUUGACUGACCGCUGUCACAAGGAGAGGGUCGUAAAUUGUCAGCAGGCCCCCCUGGCCAGAAGAUGAUGUAACACCCCUAAGACCUCUGUAUACAUUUGUGUGAAGCACCUGACUUUAAUAAAAGUCAGGACUGCUGUCCCCACGUGACUUUUGUAUAACAUCUUAGUGUAUAAAAACAGACUCUGGAAAAUAAAGAAUUGGGAUCAGUUUCUCAAAAUACUGGUCUCCCCAUGUCUCUCUCUCCCUCCGGCUGAGUCUCCAUCUGGAGCGCGGAACCCACCAAGCUUACUAAUUUUGCCUGGGCUUCUAAGAUCCGACCGGGGAGGCCUCAGUGUCUCCUCUCCUUCGGGAGAACGGAAGGACGCCUGCGGCCUACGUAAGUGGUGCAAGCUUCUUGUCUUGAAGUUUUAUUGGUCCCCCGCGUAAACCAAGCUACUCAGCCUCUUUUCUCCACUGAAUUUUCCUACUGAGCUAUCCUUAUUCUAUUACUCUUUAUAUCUCUAAUUAAUAUCUAAUUGAAACUAUCGUAUCCUGACCCUCGCCGACGCCGUCUCUCCUUCGAGUACCCUGGAUCAGCUGGGGCUGGUCCCCGGCACAUGGGAGCAUUAUUCAUAAUAGAGAAAAAGAGGAAAGAACCCAAAUAUCCAUCCGUUGAUGACUGGAUAAAUGGUAUAUACAUGCAGUGGCAUAUUAUUGAGCCAUUAAAAAAGAAUGGAGUAUUGAUACAUAUUGUGACAUGGAUGAAUUAGAGUUCUGUUUAUGUGAAAUGUCUGGAAUAGGUAAAUCCAUUGAGAUCAAAAGUAGGUUAGUGGCUGAGAAGGGCUGAGGGGGAGAGGAAUAGGGAGUGCCUGUUAAUGGAUGUGACAUUUCUUUAAGGACUGGAUGUGUUCUGAAAUUGGAUAUUGUAGUGUUGGUUCCACAACUUUGUGAAUAUACAAAAAUCCACUGAAUUGUAUGCUUUGUAAGGAUGCAUAUUACUGUAUGUGAAUUAUAUCUCAUUUUUUUAAAAUAAUAAUAACAUUUUACCUGGGUUAGUGUAUUUUUUCCCCCACUCUUCUUCCUUCCAUAUAGUACUUCAUUUGAAAUGCAUUUUAGUUCAAAUAUUUCUGAUUGUAUUUUAUUUUAAGGAUUAUUUUCUAUAUCCUUGGUAAUUGUAUUUACUUUUUUCUUUAUGUAUGUGAAACGUUAAUAUUGUUCUGUAUGUUAAGAGCUCCAUAAAACAGUAUACUCAGAGAAGUGGCAGCUCUGCUCUUCAAAUUGUUUAUUUCCGUUUCACCCCAAGCCCUCCCUCCCCAUGUAGAUAAUCAGCCUCAUUCAUCCUUAGUGUAUUCUUCCUGUGUUUUUAUUUGCAGACUAAUAAAUGUUAAUUUUUUAUUUCCCCUUUCUUACAUAAAAAUUGAAAUUUUCUAGAUGCUUGUAUAAUCCUUGGUUUCUUCAUUUAAAAAAGGAGUUCCCUGGUGGCUCAGACAGUAAAGCGUCUGUCUACAAUGCAGGAGACCUGGGUUUGAUCCCUAGGUUGGGAAGAUUCCCUGGAGAAGGAGAUGGCAACCCACUCCAGUACUCCUGCCUAGAAAAAUUCCAUGGACAGAGAAGCCUGGUAUCCAUGGGGUCGCAAAGAGUCGGACACAACUGAGCAACUUCACGUUCACGUUCUUCAUUUAAAAAUGUUGGGAGAUAGCCAACAUACCCAGAAUAUCCAACUCAAGUGUUGAAAAUAAUUUGCACGAACUUGGCCAAGUUAAUCUCUUUGACAUUUGGGUUCCACAUAAGUGAAAAAACCUUCUUGACUAUAUUUCUGCAUGCAAUUCUCUACCUCAAAGUAAUGAAAAUAUUGUGUUUUUAAAACAAAUUGUGAUAAGUGAUGAAAAGUGAAUACUGUAUAAUGUUGUAGAACAGAAGAGAUCCUGCGGCAAGCAGAAUGAACCACCAACCACACCAAAGGCCAAACUUUAUCCAAAGAAGGUGAUGUUGUGUAUAUGGUGUGAUUGAAAGGGAGUCCUCUUAUGAGCACCUUCUGGAAAACCAAAUGAUUAUUUCCAACAAAUAUUGCUCCCAGUUAGACCAACUGAAAGCACUCAAAGAAUAGUGUCUGGAAUUAGUCAACAGAAAAUGCAUAAUCAGCUUACCAUAAGACUGCAUAUUUCUUUGAUGACCAGAUAAAAACUGUUAAAGCCUGGCUGGGAAGUUCUGAUUCAUCUACCAUUUUCACCAGACAUUGCACCUUCACAUGUCCAGUUAUUUCAGUCUUUACAAAAUUCUCUUAAUGCAAAAAGCUUCCGUUUCCUAGAAGACUGAAAAGGCACCUGGAAUAGUUCUUUGCUCAAAAAGAGAGAAAGUUUUGGGAUGAUGGAAUGACAAAGUUGCCUGAAAAAUGCCAGAAGGUAGUGGAAC
ensembl:lncRNA